GUGGCGGAGAGCCUGCAAUUAGCAGGAUGCAGCACAGGUGGAGAGGACACAAAAGGAGAGAACAGCUUGCAGCAGAGGAGAAGAUCUUCAGUCAGAGACAGUCCAGAGACAGCAGUGCAGCAGAAAGGCCCUCCUGCUACUACCUACCAGCCCAGUGACCUGAGAGUCCUGUGAGACUACAUGCAGCAGACCGUGUCCGCCAACGCAGAUUCACUCAAAAAACUUUUGGACGGUGCUGGAGAGACGGGCAGACGGCUGUUGGAGUACGGGAGGAGCUAAGACGCGGACACGAGGAGGAUCGCUGGAGUGGACUGAACUGGAUUAAAGAGCCGGAUUGGACUUGAUUGGACUGGACUUUUUAUAGGGUUUUUAACCUUGUUGCUAGUAACAUUUUAUUCCUUUUAGCUUUUAGAUUAAUCAUUCAUUUUUAGACCCAUGCUAUUUUAAUUGCAAUAAAUCUGGUUUUAAAUUGA